rnacentral:rRNA from 1 species
UGGGGAAUAUUGCACAAUGGGGGAAACCCUGAUGCAGCGACGCCGCGUGAGUGAAGAAGUAUUUCGGUAUGUAAAGCUCUAUCAGCAGGGAAGAAAAAAGAGUUAAAGCUCUUGGACGGUACCUGACUAAGAAGCCCCGGCUAACUACGUGCCAGCAGCCGCGGUAAUACGUAGGGGGCAAGCGUUAUCCGGAUUUACUGGGUGUAAAGGGAGCGUAGACGGUCAUGCAAGUCUGGAGUGAAAGCCCGGGGCCCAACCCCGGGACUGCUCUGGAAACUGUAAGCCUAGAGUGCGGGAGGGGCAGGCGGAAUUCCUGGUGUAGCGGUGAAAUGCGUAGAUAUCAGGAGGAACACCGGCGGCGAAGGCGGCCUGCUGGACCGUGACUGACGUUGAGGCUCGAAAGCGUGGGGAGCAAACAGG